rnacentral:sRNA from 1 species
AUGGCAGCGGAGGAGAAGGACCCUCUGAGCUAUUUCGCGGCAUACGGGAGCAGCAGCUCAGGCUCCUCGGACGAGGAGGAUAACAUCGAGCCGGAGGAGACAAGUCGCAGAACCCCGGAUCCGGCGAAGUCGUCGGGCGGCUGUAGGAACAAGGCGGAGAAGCGGCUCCCGGGACCCGACGAGCUGUUUAGGAGCGUGACUCGCCCGGCCUUUCUCUACAAUCCGCUCAACAAGCAGAUAGACUGGGAGAGGCACGUCGUCAAGGCGCCUGAGGAGCUUCUCCCUGAGACCCCUUCCCUUUGACGCCGAAGUGCCUGCGGUGCUGCCUCCAAGACAGUGUCUGCUGCAGCUUCCUGAAGGGGUCAGCCUUGGCGUAGUAUCUCUGAGACUGGAUUCUUCUUUGCCUCCAAAGGAAUUCAAAAUAUGGAAGUCAAAUUAUGUACCACCUCCUGAGACCUACACCACUGAGAAGAAGCCUCCGCCUCCAGAGCUUGACAUGGCAAUAAAAUGGUCUAACAUAUAUGAGGACAAUGGUGAUGAUGCUCCACAGAAUGCUAAGAAAGCUAGGCUUCUACCAGAAGGGGAGGAGACGUUGGAAUCAGCACUUGAAGAUCUUGAAAUCCAGAACUGA